rnacentral:ncRNA from 1 species
AUAUAGGCGAUGGAGUUCGCCAUAACCGCCGUGAGGCUAAUGACUCCUACC